UACGUAGGGUGCAAGCGUUGUCCGGAAUUAUUGGGCGUAAAGAGCUCGUAGGCGGCUUGUCACGUCGGGGUGUGAAAGCCCGGGGCUUAACCCCGGGUCUGCAUUCGAUACGGGCUGGCUGGAGUGUGGUAGGGGAGAUCGAAUUCCUGGUGUAGCGGUGAAAUGCGCAGAUAUCAGGAGGAACACCGGUGGCGAAGGCGGAUCUCUGGGCCAUUACUGACGCUGAGGAGCGAAAGCGUGGGGGAGCGAACAGG
rnacentral:rRNA from 1 species